CGGGCAUAUGUGCAGAGGAGGGGCGGAUGAAGAGGGAAAGAAAAGACUAGAAAGAGGAAAGAAGGGGCCAAGAAUCAAGGACCCCUGUGCCAACACAGGGGGACAUGCCAAAUCUGGCCACCAAAGUCCUUUUGAGGCAACUGCAUGCAUCAUCGUCAUCAUCGUCAUCACCGUCAUCACCGUCGUCACUGUAACUCUACUUGCUGUCUGCCAACCACUUUACUGAGCAGACCAUCCUAGUAGCAACCCACCUUCUAGCUUCAAGGCUGUCCAUAGACCUUAGGCUGCCAGGAAACCAGUUAUAAGCAGGGAGACAAAAGGGAUCCAGAGGAUGGAGAGGCAUUCUGAGUUCCGCUAAUGAGUGAGCAGGAUGUCAUUGCCUGUCAGUGCCACAUGUUGAAGACGUGAAGGUGGGAGAAUCACAAGAUAGAAGUGGCCUAGUUCCUUGAAUUACCACUUGGAAGAGAACCACCACUAUCAGCCACUAUUACCACACCCAUGCAGGAAGUUCUGGGAGACUUCACGUUGUACUUUGAUGUAAAAUCUCUCACUCAUAGGAGUAUGGGAAUGUAAAUCCGCCUGGAAACGUUAAACUCAUCAAACAACAUGAAACUGUACAGCCCUCAAUCCAUACCCAAGAGGCUGGAUCCACCUCUCACCCUAGACUAAGAUUCUACAAAUUAUUAUUUGACUUCCUUUGAAAAACUGAUUGCCAGCUUUAUAACUCGAUCUGGGCACACUCCCCAUCGGGGCCUGCAUUUCCUGUGGAUGAUGCAUUGGUUUCCAAGGUGACGGUGGGAAGGAAUAGACCUGUUAGCUUGUGGCUUCUGACUCACUCACUGCAAUGGACGUCAUAGAAUUGUAGCUGAACAAAUGGAUGCUGAUAAUAAGUAUGUGCCUAAGGUAGCAGCGGGGCACCAAUGGUUAAAACAAUCCCAUUGUACCAGCUCUCUCUCCCUCCCACUAAGCAAGCCGACAGGCCAACAGAAAUACCGGAACUGAAAAAAGAUACAACAGAUUUCCCCAGUCAUAUAUAAGUUCACAGUGAAGUCCUAUUUACAUCCCCGAGAUUUUGCUCCUACGCCUGGAGAAUUUCCUUUUCCUUUCCGGAAUGUAGAAGUACCAGGAUUCUGUAACAAAUCGUCAUAUGGAGGCUGAAGAGAGUGUGAUGGAAACAAGCCAAAAACUCACCAGAAGUCUGUUCACGAAGGUGACAGCCGCUUUUGAACUUUUAAAUUUGUUUCUUGUGAGGCAAUUCACAGUGGACUAACAAUCAUCAGAGCCCAGAAUGAAACAUACAUUCUGCUGAGAAAUUAAUCUUCAGAAAAGUUGAAUUUCAUGAAGUCUGAAGAUGCUCUCUCUCUCUCUCUCUCCCUCUCUCUCUCACAUACACACACACACACAGUGUGUGUGUGUCUUCUUGUCUUCAGGCUCACUCACCCACACACACAAAGACAGAGAGAGAGACACAGAGAGAAAGAGAUAGAGAGAUAGAGGGAGAGACAGAGAUAGAGUGAAAGAGAGAGAAUGAUUGAGAUUGACUUUCUAGCUACGUCUUUUUGUAUCAACUGAUCCCAGCCACCUAUAAGUCAAAGAAGACUGCCUGGAAUAAAAAAAAUAUAUAUGUGAAGAGCCCCGUGUUCUUCAUGUCCGAACCAGGGAAGACUGAAUGGAUUCUUUAGAUUCUUGAGUUCCUUAAACGAUGAGCAAACCUAAAGGUUCCCUACUGGAGAUAAUGCAUCUUGUUUUCCACUGGGCCUUGCGGGAUGCUUUAAAUAGCAUCAGCAAGCAUCCGAAUGAAUUAGACAGCAAAUGUAGGUUAGCUUUAUUUAGACAGAUAAAGACAAGCAGAGAAAGUUGUCUGGUUCAAGGGCAGUGCAGCCUGACACGACAGCAUUUCUCUGAGGAGGGGAAAUUGCUUUGGGAGAGAGAGGUAUUUUGGGCAAAAAGCAAAGUUCCUUGGAUCUCCAGGGAAAGUGAUGCUAAAUUCUUCAGUACAGAAGAGCUGGAAUUGAGAAUGGCUUGCCAUUCAUUGAAGGAAAGAGCUGGAGAGUUAAAAUGUAAAGCAAAACUCAGUAUCACACAUCAUCCCUAAGUCCACACAUCAUUUUUUCUCUUUCCUAUUUCUUGGGAACACCACCAGAAAAGACAGGCUUCCCAGAACACAAGCUGGCCUAGCCAGUUUACACGAGUCCUCUGGAGUGUACUUGAGACCCCUGGCAAUUCUGAGUCAGGAAAUUAGUGCAGCUGAAGAACCCCUGGAGACUGGAAGCCUAGGAAGCAGGGAAACUGGCAUAUUUGGGGACAUUCACACGUUAAACAGAAAUGUGAAUGCUUGAGAAAAAGUUACAACUAAUGAAUUUAGUUAAUUUUCUUCUUCUUCCCCUAUCCACUCUCUUAGACUAUUUUUUGAAAAUAAAGGCCGGGCGUGGUGUCUCACACCUGUAAUCCCAGCACUUUGGGAGGCCGAGGCAGGCGGAUCACCUGAGGUCAGGAG
rnacentral:lncRNA from 1 species